GAAUCUUCCACAAUGGACGAAAGUCUGAUGGAGCAAUGCCGCGUGAGUGAAGAAGGUUUUCGGAUCGUAAAACUCUGUUGUGAGGGAAGAACAAGUAUGAGAGGAACUGCUCGUACCUUGAAGGUACCUCAUUAGAAAGCAACGGCUAACUACGUGCGAGCAGCCGCGGUAAUACGGAGGUGGCAAGCGUUGUCCGGAAUUAUUUGGCGUAAAGCACACGCAGGCUGUCCUUUAAGUCUGAUGUGACAUCCCACGGCUCAACCGUGGAAGGUCAUUGGAAACUGGGGGACUUGAGUACAGAAGAGGAAAGCGGAAUUCCAAGUGUAGCGGUGAAAUGCGUAGAGAUUUGGAGGAACACCAGUGGCGAAGGCGGCUUUCUGGGCUGUAACUGACGCUGAGGCGCGAAAGCGUGGGGAGCAAACA
rnacentral:rRNA from 1 species